CAACGUUCUCAGGGCGGGGCGUAAUUCCCCACCGGCGGUAAUGAUGCGCAAUGCAUCUAGCCCGCGAGCGCUUGAGGGUUGGCAACCACGGUUGACGAUUCGCAAGGUCAGCAGACCCGGUGUGAUUCCGGGGCCGACGGUCAUAGUCCGGAUGAAGAGAGAGCGGGA
rnacentral:ncRNA from 1 species